GACGAACCGUGCGAACGUUGUUCGGAAUCACUGGGCUUAAAGGGCGCGUAGGCGGCUUAUCAAGUCCGGGGUGAAAGCCCCCAGCUCAACUGGGGAAGUGCCUUGGAUACUGGUGAGCUCGAGGGAGGUAGGGGCAGAGGGAACUUCUGGUGGAGCGGUGAAAUGCGUUGAUAUCAGAAGGAACGCCGGUGGCGAAAGCGCUCUGCUGGACCUCUUCUGACGCUGAGGCGCGAAAGCUAGGGGAGCAAACAGG
rnacentral:rRNA from 1 species